AUGGAUGCCGGCGGUGGCGCUGCUCGCCCCGAAGCCCCUAGCGGCGAAGGCGCCAGGUUGGGGCAGUCGCAGAUGGAGUUUGACGGCCCGGUCGUGCUCAACCGAUCUGCCGAGCUCGAAUCAAGCGAUGCGAUGGAUAUCGAUGCGACCCCAGCGCAAGCUCCGAGCCAGAUGGUGCCGCCGCCCACGCAGUCUCCCGCUGCUACACUGACGGACACCGUUGUACAAGUGCAGAAGCAGCUGAAGCGGAAGAGGGCAUCCAAUGGCCCUGUGAUUGCUCCUGCAGAGAAGGAGGCUCUUGCUGACGGGUGCCGCCUGGAGCUCCAGGGCCUGUUCGAGUACUACAAGGAGGUUUCUGGGCACAAGAUGCAGCUCGAUGGUGGUGGAAAUCUGUCAACCAAUGCCAUGAUUGGGUGCUUGCUGGAGGAGAGCAAUCUUGGGCUAUCCAAGUUGGUGGAUGAGACAUUUGAGAAGCUCAAGGGAAUAGAGGGUGUCUCUGUGGCUUCGGUCCGCAGCUCCGUGCUACUCAUUGGGCAGAGGAUGAUGUACGGACAAUCUAGCCCUGAUGCUGAUGUGUUGGAAGAUGAAUCAGAGCUCUCUCUUUGGUGCUGGGAGGUAAGAGAUUUGAAGGUACUGCCUGUGAGAAUGCGUGGGUUUUUAAGUGCGCGGAGAACUGCCAGAAAGAAAAUCCAUGAGAGGAUCACUGCUCUCCAUUCAACUUUGUCAGCUCUGGAAUCUACAGGGGCUGAAAGUCAAGUAAAUGAACUUAGAAAAGUAUCAAUGAAGUUAAGCAAAGCACUAAACCUGGAAGGGAUUAGAUCAAUGGUGGACAGAGUGACACAAAAGAACAACAUUCAAAGGGGUGCCAAAGAUGUAGAAUCAGCAGAUCAGUCAAUGCAAGUGAUGCAAAAUAAUGAGGGAACUGUUGGCAGAGUAGAUGCUGUGAAUGGCUCUGAGCUGCCAAAUGGAAAUGAUCCUGCUAAUGAACAAGUAAUUCUGAAAAUGCAAAAACAAUCCCAGAAGGAAACAAAACGCCAGGAGAAAGAGGAACAUCAGAUGAUGAAACAGCAAAAGAAAAUGCAAGAAGAGGCACUGAGAGAACAAAAAAGACGUGAAAAGGAAGAAGCUGAAGUAAAGAAGCGACAAAAGAGGCAGGAAGAAGAAGCACUGAAAGAGCAGAAGCGCCGUGAAAAAGAAGAAGCUGAAAUGAGAAAACAAGAAAAGAAGCAGCAAGAGGAUGCUCUGAAAGAGCAGAAGCGCCGUGAAAAAGAAGAAGCUGAAAUGAGAAAACAGCAAAAGAAGCAGCAAGAGGAAGCUGAUAAAGAACAAAAGCGUCUUGAGAAGGAAGCCGCGCAACUCAAGAAACAACUGGCCAUUCAGAAGCAAGCUUCAUUAAUGCAGCGCCUUUUCAAAAGUAAUGACAGCGAAAAACCUAAAUCUGGAGAGAAUGACUCAGAUGUGCACACUGUUGAUCCAGGCACUACGAAAAAAGAGAUAUCAGCUGCUACAUCAAUAAUUGAUUCUUCCUUCUCUCUGAAAGAGAGCUGGACUUUGGAGUACCUUCAGAGGUUGCAGAUCACUGGUUGGCAAAAGUUAUCAAGCUAUAACAGGUCCUCCAGAUGGGGUAUCAGACACAAACCCAAGGAGGCAUUUAAAGAGCUGAAGCUUCAAAAAACCUCAGAUGACAUGAUCGAUGAAAUACUUUCUACUCCAAAUGAAGAUGCUUGUCACAAUUCAGGUCAAGAAAAUGAACCAGAUAAACUAGGAAAUGACAUUGAUAUGCUUCCAGCCAGUGAGGUGCAGUGUCAUGUCACCCGUAAUGAUAAUUCUCUGCCAACUAGAUUGAUAAAGAGAAAGCUUCUGCAAUUUGCCAAAAGUAACAGGCCAGCAUAUUAUGGGACUUGGAGUAAGAAAAGUGCUGUAAUUCGUCCAAAGUGUCCACUUAUGAUGGACCCUGAUCUUGAUUAUGAAAUUGACAGUGAUGAUGAAUGGGAGGAGGUGGAUCCUGGUGAGAGCCUUUCUGACUGUGAGAAGGACACUGAUGAGGUUAUGGAUGAAGAAGAUUCCAAGAUUACAGAUGAAGAAGAGGAAGAUAGCUUUGUCGUCCCUGAUGGUUACCUCUCGGAUAGUGAGGGUAUUCAGGUAGAAAGUCUAUUGGAUGAAAAGGCUGAUGAUGCCAGUAGUUUGCCAAUGAGCCAGUGUCCAGAAGUUGAGGAAUUCAGAACUUUACUACGCCAGCAAAAAGUGCUUAACACUUUGACUGAACAGGCUCUCCGCAAGAGUCAACCUCUAGUAAUAUCCAACUUAGCUCAUGAAAAGGCUGACUUAUUGACCGCCCAAGAUCUCAAGGGAAGUUCGAAGAUUGAGCAACUUUGUCUGCAAGUUCUUUCAAUGCGGAUCUGUCCAGGGGGUGGAGUUGUUGAUGUGCCAGCCAUUGACAGUUCAUCUGCUGCUUCUGAAGAAACCAACCAGUCGAAUGCAAAAAGUAGCCCUGCAGCUGCAUCCUCUGUACUGGAUACAGACCUGCAAGAAAUUGUUCAGGUGAUACAGUCAAGUCGAGAUGGUAUCCACAAGCUGGUGGAAUUGCUGCACCAGAAAUUUCCGACUGUAAAAAAGACUCAACUGAACCAUAAAGUGAGGGAGAUAUCUGACUUUGUUGAUAACCGCUGGCAGGUUAAGAAAGAGGUUCUCGACAAGCUUGGCUUAACUUCCUCACCACCUGUGGAUCGUCCCCAGAAGACGAAAGCAGUAGCCGAACGUCCCUCUAAGACGAAAGGAAUAGGCAUGUACUUCUCAAAGCGGUGUUUACCUCCAGAAGAGGCUGUCAACGCCCUUGCAUCUUCACCUGAGCUGCGCUUGAAACCGAGAACUGUUCAAGGCAGCAAUGGUGUUGCUGGUGCUCCUCAGGUUGAUCUGUUCCCCUCGCAGAAGUGA
rnacentral:rRNA from 1 species